GAUGGAGAAAGGUGCGGAGAUGCCACUACAAAAAAAAAAUGCUACAUGUGGAGACAUAGGCAACAAAGAAAAUGAGGCAAAAGAUCAAGAGACGAUAACUACAACAAACAAGAACAACGAAACACAAAACAUGCAAGGAUUGUUUGAUGCGCCUACCUUUCACCUGCUCACACAAGACACCGAAUUAGGUGAUGAUGUCGAUGAUACGCAUGACAAAAAUGAAGA